rnacentral:rRNA from 1 species
GAUGAACGCUGGCGGCGUGCCUAGUACAUGCAAGUCGAGCGAACGGACGAGAAGCUUGCUUCUCUGAUGUUAGCGGCGGACGGGUGAGUAACACGUGGAUAACCUACCUAUAAGACUGGGAUAACUUCGGGAAACCGGAGCUAAUACCGGAUAAUAUUUUGAACCGCAUGGUUCAAAAGUGAAAGACGGUCUUGCUGUCACUUAUAGCUGGAUCCGCGCUGCAUUAGCUAGUUGGUAAGGUAACGGCUUACCAAGGCAACGAUGCAUAGCCGACCUGAGAGGGUGAUCGGCCACACUGGAACUGAGACACGGUCCAGACUCCUACGGGAGGCAGCAGUAGGGAAUCUUCCGCAAUGGGCGAAAGCCUGACGGAGCAACGCCGCGUGAGUGAUGAAGGUCUUCGGAUCGUAAAGCUCUGUUGUUAGGGAAGAACAUAUGUGUAAGUAACUGUGCACAUCUUGACGGUACCUAAUCAGAAAGCCACGGCUAACUACGUG